rnacentral:rRNA from 1 species
GACGAACGCUGGCGGCGUGCUUAACACAUGCAAGUCGAACGGAAAGGCCCUGCUUUUGUGGGGUGCUCGAGUGGCGAACGGGUGAGUAACACGUGAGUAACCUGCCCUUGACUUUGGGAUAACUUCAGGAAACUGGGGCUAAUACCGGAUAGGAGCUCCUGCUGCAUGGUGGGGGUUGGAAAGUUUCGGCGGUUGGGGAUGGACCCGCGGCUUAUCAGCUUGUUGGUGGGGUAGUGGCUUACCAAGGCUUUGACGGGUAGCCGGCCUGAGAGGGUGACCGGCCACAUUGGGACUGAGAUACGGCCCAGACUCCUACGGGAAGCAGCAGUGGGGAAUAUUGCACAAUGGGCGGAAGCCUGAUGCAGCAACGCCGCGUGCGGGAUGACGGCCUUCGGGUUGUAAACCGCUUUCGCCUGUGACGAAGCGUGAGUGACGGUAAUGGGUAAAGAAGCACCGGCUAACUACGUG